rnacentral:rRNA from 1 species
GUAAUUAAGGGUACAUACCAUGCAGUCGAGCGGUAGAGAGGUGCUUGCACCUCUUGAGAGCGGCGGACGGGUGAGUAAAGCCUAGGAAUCUGCCUGGUAGUGGGGGAUAACGCUCGGAAACGGACGCUAAUACCGCAUACGUCCUACGGGAGAAAGCAGGGGACCUUCGGGCCUUGCGCUAUCAGAUGAGCCUAGGUCGGAUUAGCUAGUUGGUGAGGUAAUGGCUCACCAAGGCGACGAUCCGUAACUGGUCUGAGAGGAUGAUCAGUCACACUGGAACUGAGACACGGUCCAGACUCCUACGGGAGGCAGCAGUGGGGAAUAUUGGACAAUGGGCGAAAGCCUGAUCCAGCCAUGCCGCGUGUGUGAAGAAGGUCUUCGGAUUGUAAAGCACUUUAAGUUGGGAGGAAGGGCAUUAACCUAAUACGUUAGUGUUUUGACGUUACCGACAGAAUAAGCACCGGCUAACUCUGUGCCAGCAGCCGCGGUAAUACAGAGGGUGCAAGCGUUAAUCGGAAUUACUGGGCGUAAAGCGCGCGUAGGUGGUUCGUUAAGUUGGAUGUGAAAUCCCCGGGCUCAACCUGGGAACUGCAUUCAAAACUGUCGAGCUAGAGUAUGGUAGAGGGUGGUGGAAUUUCCUGUGUAGCGGUGAAAUGCGUAGAUAUAGGAAGGAACACCAGUGGGCGAAAGCGACCACCUGGGACUGAUA